AAAUUGAAGAGUUUGAUCAUGGCUCAGAUUGAACGCUGGCGGCAGGCCUAACACAUGCAAGUCGAACGGUAACAGGAAGAAGCUUGCUGCUUCGCUGACGAGUGGCGGACGGGUGAGUAAUGUCUGGGAAACUGCCUGAUGGAGGGGGAUAACUACUGGAAACGGUAGCUAAUACCGCAUAACGUCGCAAGACCAAAGAGGGGGACCUUCGGGCCUCUUGCCAUCGGAUGUGCCCAGAUGGGAUUAGCUUGUUGGUGGGGUAACGGCUCACCAAGGCGACGAUCCCUAGCUGGUCUGAGAGGAUGACCAGCCACACUGGAACUGAGACACGGUCCAGACUCCUACGGGAGGCAGCAGUGGGGAAUAUUGCACAAUGGGCGCAAGCCUGAUGCAGCCAUGCCGCGUGUAUGAAGAAGGCCUUCGGGUUGUAAAGUACUUUCAGCGGGGAGGAAGGGAGUAAAGUUAAUACCUUUGCUCAUUGACGUUACCCGCAGAAGAAGCACCGGCUAACUCCGUGCCAGCAGCCGCGGUAAUACGGAGGGUGCAAGCGUUAAUCGGAAUUACUGGGCGUAAAGCGCACGCAGGCGGUUUGUUAAGUCAGAUGUGAAAUCCCCGGGCUCAACCUGGGAACUGCAUCUGAUACUGGCAAGCUUGAGUCUCGUAGAGGGGGGUAGAAUUCCAGGUGUAGCGGUGAAAUGCGUAGAGAUCUGGAGGAAUACCGGUGGCGAAGGCGGCCCCCUGGACGAAGACUGACGCUCAGGUGCGAAAGCGUGGGGAGCAAACAGGAUUAGAUACCCUGGUAGUCCACGCCGUAAACGAUGUCGACUUGGAGGUUGUGCCCUUGAGGCGUGGCUUCCGGAGCUAACGCGUUAAGUCGACCGCCUGGGGAGUACGGCCGCAAGGUUAAAACUCAAAUGAAUUGACGGGGGCCCGCACAAGCGGUGGAGCAUGUGGUUUAAUUCGAUGCAACGCGAAGAACCUUACCUGGUCUUGACAUCCACAGAACUUUCCAGAGAUGGAUUGGUGCCUUCGGGAACUGUGAGACAGGUGCUGCAUGGCUGUCGUCAGCUCGUGUUGUGAAAUGUUGGGUUAAGUCCCGCAACGAGCGCAACCCUUAUCCUUUGUUGCCAGCGGUCCGGCCGGGAACUCAAAGGAGACUGCCAGUGAUAAACUGGAGGAAGGUGGGGAUGACGUCAAGUCAUCAUGGCCCUUACGACCAGGGCUACACACGUGCUACAAUGGCGCAUACAAAGAGAAGCGACCUCGCGAGAGCAAGCGGACCUCAUAAAGUGCGUCGUAGUCCGGAUUGGAGUCUGCAACUCGACUCCAUGAAGUCGGAAUCGCUAGUAAUCGUGGAUCAGAAUGCCACGGUGAAUACGUUCCCGGGCCUUGUACACACCGCCCGUCACACCAUGGGAGUGGGUUGCAAAAGAAGUAGGUAGCUUAACCUUCGGGAGGGCGCUUACCACUUUGUGAUUCAUGACUGGGGUGAAGUCGUAACAAGGUAACCGUAGGGGAACCUGCGGUUGGAUCACCUCCUUACCUUAAAGAAGC
rnacentral:rRNA from 1 species